rnacentral:rRNA from 1 species
UACGGAGGGGGCGAGCGUUGCGCGGAAUCACUGGGCGUAAAGCGUACGCAGGCGGCUCGCUAAGUCGGGUGUGAAAGCCCGGGGCUCAACCCCGGAAAUGCGCCCGAUACUGGCGAGCUUGAGUACGGGAGAGGGAUAGCGGAAUUCCUGGUGUAGAGGUGAAAUUCGUAGAUAUCAGGAGGAACACCAGUGGCGAAAGCGGCUUCCUGGCCCGAUACUGACGCUCAUGUACGAAAGCGUGGGGAGCAAACAGG